AGGGCGGGCGUUUCUUAACUUGUUCUGAAGAGGUUGUUCAACCCCCCUGGGGGUUUGAGACCCGGGCCCAGACUUCUUCCGGGAGGCAACAAUGGGGAAUAUUGGCCAAUGGGCGCAAACCUUGAUCCAACCCAUCCCGCGUGUGUGAAGAAGGCCUUCGGGUUGUUAAGCACUUUCAGUGGUGAGGAAGGCCUUGUAGUUAAUAGCUGCAAGGAUUGACGUUAGCCACAGAAGAAGCACCGGCUAACUCCGUGCCAGCAGCCGCGGUAAUACGGAGGGUGCGAGCGUUAAUCGGAAUUACUGGGCGUAAAGCGCACGUAGGCGGCCUGUUAAGCAAGAUGUGAAAGCCCAGGGCUCAACCUUGGAAUUGCAUUUUGAACUGGCAGGCUAGAGUUUUGAAGAGGGUGGUAGAAUUUCCAGUGUAGCGGUGAAAUGCGUAGAUAUUGGAAGGAAUACCAGUGGCGAAGGCGGCCACCUGGUCAAAAACUGACGCUGAGGAGCGAAAGCGUGGGGAGCAAACAGGAUUAGAUACCCUGGUAGUCCACGCCGUAAACGAUGUCAACUAGUUGUUCGUGUCUUUGAGACGUGAGUAACGCAGCUAACGCACUAAGUUGACCGCCUGGGGAGUACGGCCGCAAGGUUAAAACUCAAAUGAAUUGACGGGGGCCCGCACAAGCGGUGGAGCAUGUGGUUUAAUUCGAUGCAACGCGAAGAACCUUACCAUCCCUUGACAUCCAGAGAAUUUUCCAGAGAUGGAUUAGUGCCUUCGGGAACUCUGAGACAGGUGCUGCAUGGCUGUCGUCAGCUCGUGUUGUGAGAUGUUGGGUUAAGUCCCGCAACGAGCGCAACCCUUAUCCUUAGUUGCCAGCACGUAAUGGUGGGAACUCUAGGGAGACUGCCGGUGAUAAACCGGAGGAAGGUGGGGACGACGUCAAGUCAUCAUGGCCCUUACGGGAUGGGCUACACACGUGCUACAAUGGCGCGCACAAAGGGCAGCAAGCUAGCGAUAGCAAGCGAAUCUCAAAAAGCGCGUCGUAGUCCGGAUUGGAGUCUGCAACUCGACUCCAUGAAGUCGGAAUCGCUAGUAAUCGUGGAUCAGAAUGCCACGGUGAAUACGUUCCCGGGCCUUGUACACACCGCCCGUCACACCAUGGGAGUGGGCUGCACCAGAAGUAGAUAGCUUAACCCUCGGGAGAGCGCUACCACGUAGUAUUU
rnacentral:rRNA from 1 species